GAUGAAGAACGUAGCGAAAUGCGAUACGUAAUGUGAAUUGCAGAAUUCAGUGAAUCAUCGAGUCUUUGAACGCACAUUGCGCCCGGCAGUAAUCUGCCGGGCAUGCCUGUCCGAGCGUCAUUUCUACCCUCGAGCGAGUCCAGCAUCUAGGUGCUGGGCCUCGCCCGGCGUUGGAGCACUACGGGAAGCCCUGUGCUGUCCCCCGUAGGCCCCGAAAUGAAGUGGCGGUCCUGCCGCGGCGCCCCCUGCGUAGUAUAACAGCUCGCUUCGGGACCCGGUGGAGGCCUGCCGUCAAACCUAUACUCUCUAAGUUUGACCUCGGAUCAGGUAGGGUUACCCGCUGAACUUAAGCAUAUCAAUAAGCGGAGGA
rnacentral:misc_RNA from 1 species